GAUGAACGCUGGCGGCGUGCCUAAUACAUGCAAGUCGAGCGAACAGACGAGGAGCUUGCUCCUCUGACGUUAGCGGCGGACGGGUGAGUAACACGUGGAUAACCUACCUAUAAGACUGGGAUAAUUUCGGGAAACCGGAGCUAAUACCGGAUAAUAUAUUGAACCGCAUGGUUCAAUAGUGAAAGACGGUUUUGCUGUCACUUAUAGAUGGAUCCGCGCCGCAUUAGCUAGUUGGUAAGGUAACGGCUUACCAAGGCAACGAUGCGUAGCCGACCUGAGAGGGUGAUCGGCCACACUGGAACUGAGACACGGUCCAGACUCCUACGGGAGGCAGCAGUAGGGAAUCUUCCGCAAUGGGCGAAAGCCUGACGGAGCAACGCCGCGUGAGUGAUGAAGGUCUUCGGAUCGUAAAACUCUGUUAUUAGGGAAGAACAAAUGUGUAAGUAACUAUGCACGUCUUGACGGUACCUAAUCAGAAAGCCACGGCUAACUACGUG
rnacentral:rRNA from 1 species